UCCUACGGGAGGCAGCAGUGAGGAAUAUUGGACAAUGGAUGGAAAUCUGAUCCAGUCAUGCCGCGUGCAGGAAGACUGCCUUAUGGGUUGUAAACUGCUUUUAUACGGGAGCAAUAAGGGUUACGUGUAGCCUGAUGAGAGUACUGUAUGAAUAAGGAUCGGCUAACUCCGUGCCAGCAGCCGCGGUAAUACGGAGGAUCCGAGCGUUAUCCGGAAUUAUUGGGUUUAAAGGGUGCGUAGGCGGCUAUUUAAGUCAGCGGUGAAAUUUUGCAGCUUAACUGUAACAGUGCCGUUGAAACUGUUUAGCUAGGAUUUGGUUGCAGUGUGCGGAAUGUGUGGUGUAGCGGUGAAAUGCUUAGAUAUCACACAGAACACCAAUUGCGAAGGCAGCACACUAAGUCAAUAUGACGCUGAGCACGAA
rnacentral:rRNA from 1 species